rnacentral:rRNA from 1 species
AGAGUUUGAUCAUGGCUCAGGAUGAACGCUAGCUACAGGCUUAACACAUGCAAGUCGAGGGGCAGCAUUCCAGUUUGCUUGCAAACUGGAGAUGGCGACCGGCGCACGGGUGAGUAACACGUAUCCAACCUGCCGAUAACUCGGGGAUAGCCUUUCGAAAGAAAGAUUAAUACCCGAUGGCAUAAUAGAACCGCAUGGUUUGAUUAUUAAAGAAUUUCGGUUAUCGAUGGGGAUGCGUUCCAUUAGGCAGUUGGUGGGGUAACGGCCACCAAACCUUCGAUGGAUAGGGGUUCUGAGAGGAAGGUCCCCCACAUUGGAACUGAGACACGGUCCAAACUCCUACGGGAGGCA